rnacentral:rRNA from 1 species
GGUUAAGCGACUAAGCGUACACGGUGGAUGCCCUGGCAGUCAGAGGCGAUGAAGGACGUGCUAAUCUGCGAAAAGCGUCGGUAAGGUGAUAUGAACCGUUAUAGCCGGCGAUGUCCGAAUGGGGAAACCCAGUGUGAUUCGUCACACUAUCGUUAACUGAAUACAUAGGUUAACGAGGCGAACCGGGGGAACUGAAACAUCUAAGUACCCCGAGGAAAAGAAAUCAACCGAGAUUCCCCCAGUAGCGGCGAGCGAACGGGGAGCAGCCCAGAGUCUGAAUCAGCUUGUGUGUUAGUGGAACGGUCUGGAAAGUCCGACGGUACAGGGUGAUAGUCCCGUACACCAAAAUGCACAAGCUGUGAACUCGAAGAGUAGGGCGGGACACGUGGUAUCCUGUCUGAAUAUGGGGGGACCAUCCUCCAAGGCUAAAUACUCCUGACUGACCGAUAGUGAACCAGUACCGUGAGGGAAAGGCGAAAAGAACCCCGGCGAGGGGAGUGAAAAAGAACCUGAAACCGUGUACGUACAAGCAGUGGGAGCACCUUCGGGUGUGACUGCGUACCUUUUGUAUAAUGGGUCAGCGACUUAUAUUCUGUAGCAAGGUUAACCGUAUAGGGGAGCCGCAGGGAAACCGAGUCUUAACUGGGCGUUAAGUUGCAGGGUAUAGACCCGAAACCCGGUGAUCUAGCCAUGGGCAGGUUGAAGGUUGGGUAACACUAACUGGAGGACCGAACCGACUAAUGUUGAAAAAUUAGCGGAUGACUUGUGGCUGGGGGUGAAAGGCCAAUCAAACCGGGAGAUAGCUGGUUCUCCCCGAAAGCUAUUUAGGUAGCGCCUCGUGAA